rnacentral:rRNA from 1 species
GGCCCUGCUCUUGUGGGGUGCUCGAGUGGCGAACGGGUGAGUAACACGUGAGUAACCUGCCCUUGACUUUGGGAUAACUUCAGGAAACUGGGGCUAAUACCGGAUAGGAGCUCCUGCUGCAUGGUGGGGGUUGGAAAGUUUCGGCGGUUGGGGAUGGACUCGCGGCUUAUCAGCUUGUUGGUGGGGUAGUGGCUUACCAAGGCUUUGACGGGUAGCCGGCCUGAGAGGGUGACCGGCCACAUUGGGACUGAGAUACGGCCCAGACUCCUACGGGAGGCAGCAGUGGGGAAUAUUGCACAAUGGGCGGAAGCCUGAUGCAGCAACGCCGCGUGCGGGAUGACGGCCUUCGGGUUGUAAACCGCUUUCGCCUGUGACGAAGCGUGAGUGACGGUAAUGGGUAAAGAAGCACCGGCUAACUACGUGCCAGCAGCCGCGGUGAUACGUAGGGUGCGAGCGUUGUCCGGAUUUAUUGGGCGUAAAGGGCUCGAAGGUGGUUGAUCGCGUCGGAAGUGUAAUCUUGGGGCUUAACCCUGAGCGUGCUUUCGAUACGGGUUGACUUGAGGAAGGUAGGGGAGAAUGGAAUUCCUGGUGGAGCGGUGGAAUGCGCAGAUAUCAGGAGGAACACCAGUGGCGAAG